CACUACCCAAAACUUCAAGAUCUAACAGGGGGAUGGCUGCUUUAUAAACAUUAAGAGGUUCUGGACGGAGAAAACUUUCACUUAUACCUCCAGAGACUGAGGGUUACCAUGGAAACCUUUUGAAAACUGUGACAGUAGGAGGAAAAAACAUGAUCUACAUAUUUCCACUUCAGGAGAAAACUGAUAUGUCUCCUCUUCCUCUGGAUGCUCUAGAACUUCAAAGCAUGCCUAAAGCAUCAUGGGAAGUUUGCAGUGUUACCUUGCAGUUUAUUCUCAUCAUGAAAGCAGUGCUAAUGAAGGUACUCCAGUGGCAUCAACAUCAAGUACAAAUGAUGCCAGUUUCCCUGGAACACAUCUGUUUUUAAUUUGAGGCAGCUUGUCCAGUAUGUGAAGAGGAAUAUCUGCUGGAUAUUUUACAGAUCCAUGCCAGCUGUUGUGGAGACAGUCUUGAGGAGACCUCACCCAGACCAGAACAGGUUUCCAAAUCACUUGGAGGUUCACUGAAAAAGUCACUGACACAUGUUAAUAUAUCAUUUAUAGCUGACACAUUUCAC